AACCCAUGGUAAGGGCACCUUCUCAAUAAAUCCUUGUAUCUCUCCCAUGCAUCAUACAGUGUCUCCAAAUCCAUUUGCAGAAAAGAAGAGAUAUCAUUCCUCAACUU
rnacentral:snoRNA from 1 species